UUUACCAGCUGAGCACCAGGCGUCUGUAGCUGCAGAUCUCUGUGCUUUGGUCCAUGCAAUUAUGUGUUUUCCAGUUGCACUCAGUUGAAAGUAAUCAUGGAGCUGCAAUCUCAGCUGGGACAGAAAAUCAUCUAACAAGUUGGCUCCUGUGCGAUUACAGAAGAUACAUUCUGCCACUAAUUUGUUCUGCCACUGUUUCACCCUCCUAAGUGGAAUGAACUGGGGAAGCAACUGCACACUUGAGUGCUGCUGGUCUGUGCCUGGGGUGAAUUAGACAUAUUGCUUCAAGGUGCAAAGAACUUUCCACUCUAGAGGAGCUGGGCGGCAGUGUGUGCGUCUGCCUCAGAACCCAUCUGACCCCUGCCUCGGGCAGCUUUUUACAGAUUUAGGAAAUGAUCAGAUCUGGAAGGAGAGCCUGCAUGGGCUGAUCUGUCAGCAGAUUCAUGGGCUAAUUGGAGGACAGCCUACCUGUGGCUGUCCCUGUGCUUGUAAAUCCUGGAUCCAGACUAGCGUGAUACUCAGGGGACCUUCGCCUUGAACUUUGUGCCUCGGACUUCAGCUUUGUGAGCCCUCAGAUGGCCCUUCUGCAGCUGCAUCAGGCCACACACAGUUGCAAGUCUCUGCUGGGAGGUGACAGGCAUGGAGCUGGCACUGGGUCUGUGAAUACUUCUCUGCAAAGUCAAACAGUUUCCUUUCAGAAACAAAAAUUGAAAACAAAUUGUCCUAUACACAAAACAAAGGGACAGAUCCCUAGCUGGAAUGGACUGGUACUACCAAAUGAAUAACACCCACUCACAGGAGAGACUCUGGCCCUUUUAACUCCAGCUGCUGAUCCUGCUCUUCCCAGACAAGAGCUUGGGCCUGGGGUUUUAGAUGGCAGCAGCGCUGGCUCGAGGUAGGUUGAAAAGGAUGAAGGGCCGCCUUCAGAGCGGCUGAAAAUGCACCAGGGCUCCAAGCACGCCGUGCGCUGUGCACUGCCUAAACCAGGAGCUGACUCCAGGUGAAUGAGCCAACGGACAUAACAAGAAAAUUACUGAUACCAACGUGGCCGUGAAAUUAAUGAGCUGCUUUGGAGAAAUGCUGGCAAAGCAGGCUUCCAGAAACCACUUACGUGUGGGGUUUGCUUUCUGAAAAGAGGCUUGUCUUCAGAUUUCUCUCUCAAAACCAAGAUUGCCAUCUUGAAAAUGACAUGAGAGGUCCCCAAGAAAAUACUAACUGUGCAGUGCAGGAGAACGCAUGCAUGACUAACUGUGAUCUAUCCCAGCCAGCCCUGCACCCAAGACUGUGGCACAGCACAAUUGCAGCCGGCGUUUGGGAAGUGCCGUCAGCCGUGAACAAGUUGCUAAGAGCAGCAGUUACUGGCUUUGGGCCCUGCCAGCACAAACUGUGGCUCUCAUCAGGCUGUCCUUUGUGCAGGCCCAAGCGUGCUCCAGAAGUGCCAGUGUUAACUGCGUUCAUUAGUUUCCCUCACCCACAAGAAAAUAAAAAUAUACACAUUAGGAAAAUUCCAGAAGUCUUUCACUUUGCCAAGGAACAGACAGCAUCCCCAUUGCUGCUGACUCCAGCAGCGAGAGCUGCCCAACCUCUGUGCGGAGCACUGAGCUCCCUGUCCUUACGGCUCCAGCAGUGUCCCUGGGAAGAUCCAACGCACAGGACGAUGCACCGGGACCCGAAAGCGAAGGAACACUUGAGCACUAAUGCAAGAGCACCCAUCCUCCAGGACAGGGAAGGGGUGGGUUUGGCCACGUGCCUUUUACACUUCCGCUUUCUUUGCAAUCCUCAGUUUGGAGCGUCACUUCUCCUCCCUCCCACCCCCAGUAUCAGCAGAGGAGCUGGAAAGCCGGAGUUAUUUUUAGGAGAGGGUACAUUUAGGCUCUGUUAAUCUUGACUGGGUCCCUCUGAAAGUGACAGGGUUGGAUAAUCAAACACAUUACGCAGACUUUCCAUGGAGGCUGCUUUGAAAACGAGCCUCCCACCAUUCAGAUACGUAGGAGCCAAUAGUUUGGAUAGUACCGUUUGAUGCUGCACCAACUUGCCUCACUGCAGUGACCUCACUAGCAUUUAUAUGCAGAAGCCUUGGAGAACAAGGAAAUUAAAGCAGCUAACUGACUUUAAGUAUAUAAAAUAAAACAAUUAGUCAUCAAAAAGCCUCCUAGAGGCUGCCACAUUACACCUACCCUGAGUGGCAAGAGACCCACUCUCUGGCUCAGGCUCGCAAAGAAGAGGAUGGCAGCGCUGCCUGGUCAGAUCACACAGCCAAACAAGCACGCUGGCAAAACACACCCAGAGCAGCUCGGAAGGGAGCUUGCUGGUGUGAUGACUAACUCAUUAAACUGGUUGGCACAAGGAAGGGGACAGGAAGGGAGAAAGCUCGGAGAAAACCACCAGGGAGGAGCUCUGGCUAGAAGAGGCUACAAGACUGCUAGUAAAUUAACCAGGGCAUGGCCAACCAGCCCAGUCUGGUCACAGCUGUCCUAUUAAAGUCUAUUAGCCAUGAAAAGAAGGGGGGGGGGCGCAUGCAGACAGCCUAUUGAUAACGGUCCCUUGCUCACGCUGACUCUCAGACCAUAUCCAGGACUGGCUGGAAGAGUCCCAGGCUGAAGUUCUGCCCAGGACCACACUCAGUAACACGGUUACCAGCUGUUGGGCUUACUAGGGCAGCUGUGAGCCCAGGGUACGGCCCCCAGCACAGGGCACGAGCAGGCUGGGGUGUGUAUGGGUAGCGAGCAGCGCUGCAGAGCUGCCUGCCGCGUCCCGGAGCAGUGCAUUACUGCAGGGCUGCGCCCGGACUGACCACUGCCAGGAAAAGCAGCUGUACUGGUGGCAUCAACCUGCCAGCGCUGCCGCCAGUUCUGCAUCUACCUAAACUGACCAGCAAGUUCA